GAGCAAGUUGGGUUUCACUUCAUUUUUGCCCCGGUUACUUGUUUCUCAGUUCCCUCAUGUGAUACCGACCGGAUUCACAGGCCAAAGGGAAGAGGAAAGUCCAAUUGCUCUUUCUCAACAUCUUCACAGACCAAAGACUUCGUACAAUGUGAGCAGCCUGGGACCUCCCGUCCGAACCUCAUCUUUGAUACCUGUUUCCUCAACACCUGGACACACUUUUCACACCUGCCCCGACCGGGUUGGACUCUGGUCCGUCUCGACUGCAAAGGCGGCAGCCUUGUUCACCUAUGCAAGAGACGCCACGGCCGUCACCUGUCCUCCCACGACGAGCAACAUCACCAUCGCCACUCGGGUGUCUCGUCCUGGUCCAGAACCUCACACUGGGCUCCACGGCAGGACGUCCUCUGUAGCGGAGACUCGACUAUGGAAACAUCGGUGAUUUGCUUGGUUCUGACAUCGAUUCUGUUUGCACAGACCAUGGUUGUCCUCACAAAAUCCUGUGAUAACUUCUCGAUGACGACCGUCCUCACUCACCUGGUGAAAGACACCAGAAAUAACAUCCAGAACGAUGCAACCCUCACUGUGACAAGUGUGACAACUGUCAGGGAUGAACAAGCAAUGUGCACGGUCAUGCUGCAGUUGUGGUUGUAUGCUGAGGCGUUGCAAAAAUAUUCCCGAAAAUUUGGCGAAGGGAUGCUGAAGAAGAAUCUCACAAAAAUUGCGGAGAAUACUCAGAAAGAUAUUAACCAAACCAACAUCAGACAAGUACGGAGCCAUUUACAAAAGAAGGAGGCUGAAGCCAACAAAACAAACAUGAAUAUCAUGGAAUUAUUUUCCCACAUGAAACAACUGUGGAACUUGACAAAGUUUCACGGGUUAGACUGUUCCUGCGGAAACUUCUCCCUCAACCGAAAACACCAAAUCAACACCACCACAAGUCAGCCAAACGUUUCUGAAUAUAAUGUGACAACUUUAUUAAAAUGUCCCUGGACAAAGAGUGAAAUCAGCUUCAAAGAAUGGCUGACACAAGUUCCAGCAUUCCUGAUGGGCAUGGUCACUUCGAUUCUACUUAUUGGCAUGGUGUACCUGUUCAAAAAUAAGUUCCACAAGCACAAACGGAACUACAUGAUGAACACAAACCGUGUGGUUGAGGAGAAUGAAGAGGAAGAUAUUCCAGGGAGUGUGUUGCUUGAGAGUGCAGCUGUGUAACGAAAACUGAUGGACAGAGGACAAUGAAAUCAGAUACAUCUUCAUUCACUGUGAAUAGAAUGCAUUUUUAAACCAUUGUAUUUUGUAUGUAGAAAUAUAUAAAUAUUUGUACAGUUUAUAUGUUGAAAUGAAAUAAAUUGAUAAUUUUCGUUUUUCUCCACUUGGUAAAAUGAUCAUCAUCAGAUCGGAUAUAUUCCAUUGGAUGCUCACCAUUUUAACAGGCCAUUGGUCUUUGUGAUGGUCCAUCGAUGAGGAAGGCCAACUUUGCUUUCAAUCCAUUUGAGGAAUUUGAUUCAGACACCUGCUUCUUUGUGUGCAAAAAUAAAUACAUCAAAAUAUCUUUAAAGAGCCCAAAGGAUGUGAGGCAAUGAGCCUGACGAGUCUUCAAAAAGAAGGCAUUCUGAACGAUUCACCAUAUGAUGUUAAGUACAUCUCAAACAACAGUUGUAUUAGAUGUGAUGCUGUGAGAAGUGGAAUGAACAUGCCACAGGAUUCAAUCCAAAACAAAAUGACGAUCACCAAGGGAUGCUGUCACUUGAGAUCACCCCCCAAAAUAGAGGCAAUAUCCCUGGGUGCUCAUCUGGUAGAAUAAGACUGAGGAGGAAGUCAAUGUGGGACAAAAUCACGAAAAUGUACCAAUGAAGCAAUGUGAGAGCAAAUACCUAUUUUGGGGGGCAACAACCCUGUAACCCCCACAGACUCCGAUUUUUAAAAUUGCGUAAACAAACUUUGGUACAUCACGGGUGAAGAAGGUUGUGCUCAAGCUUCAUCGAAAUUGUGUGUGUGUGGUUUCGGAGAAGAAAGCAAAUGCAUGUUUUGGGGUCAACCUCCCAUAUAAACCCCCUUAGACACUGAUUUUUUUCAUGUUAUGAACAAACUUUAGUGCAUCACGGGUGAUGAAGGUUGUCGUCAAGUUUCAUCAGAAUUGUGUGUGUAAUCUCUGAGAUGAAAGCAAAUACCUAUUUUGGGGGGCAACCCCCCUUCCCCCAUUGACCCCGACCUUUUUGGUGUGAACAAACUUUGGUACAUCAUGAGUGAUGAAGGUUGUGGUCAUGUUUCAUCGAAAUUGUGCGUGUAGUUUCAGAGAAGAAGUUGAAAGUGUUUGUGGACUCAAAUAAAGAAGUCAACACUCAUGCCAGGAGGGUGGGGAAAUUCUGCAGGAAGGAACUGAUGAUAUCAUUGUGAUUACUGAGGCCAGGCAAGAAAAAUAUAAUUUCAGGAAAGGAAAAUCAAAAUAAAGACCAUUUACUUAAAGCACUAUAGUUCCAAGAAGGAAGCAAGACAUUAAAAACAAACAAACAAAAAAAAAAACACACACACACACAACCAAUAUCAGGAACUUAAAUAAUAACAUGGAAGAGCUUAAAGCCAAAGUAGACAGCGAGGAGUAUGAUGUAGUUGCAGUGAGUGAGACAUGAUUUAAUGAGGAGAGUAACUGGAGGACAGGAUUAGAAGGCUACAAGGUGUAUCGACGUGAUAGGAAGGAGAGAAUAGGAGGAGGAGGAGAAGGAGGAGGAGGAGGAGGAGGAGGAGGAGGAGGAGGAGAUUAGAAAUUGUAAAAACGGUAAGAUACUGGUAGGAUGCUUUUGUAGGGCUCCUGGUAUCUAUACUAACUAGUGCGUGCCUGUACGUGCGUGGCCUUACGUGCAAAAAAAGACUUUCAAAACCACGUGCCAGAAGGAACAACUACAUAGGCCGUUCCUUCGUUCUCGCGUGCCCGUACGUGCAAAAAAACAAACAAACAAACAAACAAAAAAACGUUCAAACCGUGUUCCACAAACAACAACCACACAGGCCGUUCCUUCGCUCUCGUAAACGACGACUGGAUUGGGACAUUGUGUUUAUCUAUAAAUGUGCAUAAGAAAUCGAGAAAUUAUUAGAAUACAGUAAGUCAUCACUAUCCGGAAGUCCGUACGUUGUAACCCGUAAUGGGGAACGCGCUCUAACUUGGCCAUAACUUGGGAACCAAUUGUCCGAUUAAUUUCAAACCUUUUGAAAGGCAAACAAACAGAGAUUGCUGGAAUUAUAGAUAAAUAGAAGAUAG
rnacentral:lncRNA from 1 species